rnacentral:lncRNA from 1 species
AUGGCUACAUUGACCUUCAGGCUCCCUCCUGCUCUCAGGCUACGUCAGCAAAGUGGGGGCAGGCCAGGCCGUUCCAGUCCUGAUCAUUGGCAUUCUGGUGUUCCUACCCGGAUUUUACCACCUGUGCAUCGCUUUCUGUGCAGCCAAAGCCUACCACGGUUACUCCUAUGAUGACAUUCCAGACUUUGCUGACUGGCACCCACCUCAUAUCUGAGAAGAGUCACAGUGGGACUGCCCCAGCUUUAAGACACCGAGCAGAAACUCUAGAUAAGGGCUAAGGAAUUCUGCAGCUUGUGGAUGUUUAAGAAAACAAUGGCCUUGAUUUUAUGGGUUCUUCCCAAAGAUGUAAACUGAGCCUACAGUUAGCUAGUUAGGACGUGACCUGCUCUGUUUUUCAUCCCUUGGCCCUGGCAAGAGCUCCUGACAAGUUUUUCCACAGGAAUAUGUAUCAUGGAAGAAUAGAGCUUAUUCUGUAGUGGAAAGUGUUGCCUGCCACCACCCUCUGUAGAGCUGAGCAUUUCUUUUAAAUAGUCUUCACUGCCAGUUUGUAACAAAUGAAAGAAUGUAGUAUGGCUAAUUGCUUACUACUAAGUAAUUUAUUUUAAAAAUAUUUGAGUAUCUUGGCUGGGCACCGUAGCUCAUGCCUGUAAUCCCAGCACUUUGGGAGGCUAAGAUGGGCGGAUCACUAAAUCAGGAGUUCGAGACCAGCCUGACCAACAUGGUGAAACCCCAUCUCUACUAAAAAUACAAAAAAAAAUAGCUGGGCAUGGUGGCAUGCAUCUGUAAUCCCAGCUACUCAGGAGGCUGAGGCAGGAGAAUUGUUUGAACCCAGGAGGUGGAGGUUGCAGUCAGCUGAGAUCACACCACUGCACUCCAGCCUGGGCAACAGAGCAUGACUCCAUCAAAAAAAAAAAAAAAAAAACAAACAAUUGGCCCAAAACCUAGAAUGCAAUAAAAAAAUAAAUAAAGCAGAAAACACACACACACACACACACACACACACACACACACACACAACCUGGAAUAUCUUAUCCUCUACACUUAACCCUACCUUCAUGUUCCUUAGGAAGACCUUGGUAAAAAUCAAAGAUCAGUGAGUUUAUCUGUAAUAUUUCUUUUUACUUGCUUUCUUAUUGAUAGCAGCCAGGAAUAAACUAGCCUGCAUGGCAAGUUUUCAAAAUGUAAAUACUUUCUCCGGUUAACAAUCCUUGGCCCAUUCUGAUCCAGUUCACCAGUAGAUUGGACAGCAUAUAAUUAGGGUCAUUUUGUCCCUUCUAAAUCAAGAUGUUCUGUAGAUUAUUCCUUUAAGGGCAGGACUUUUGGCUGUCCCUAAUGAAACAUGUAGAUAAAUGUUUAUUAGUUAGAGUUUAUAGCCCUGUUGCUAGCACCUUGUAUUAUGUCAUUAUUCUGCUUAUGAUUGCAAGGCUCAGCCUGGAUGCCUGGAGCACUAGAUUACCUUACUUUGAUUCUAUUUUUUAGCUUGCAAAAAAUGACUUAUAUUCCAAAGAAAUUAAAAUGUUGAAAUCCAAAACAAACAAACAAACAAAUAAAUAAAGUCCGGGCGUGAUGGCUCACGCCUGCAAUCCCAGCACUUUGGGAGGAUGAGGUGGGUGGAUCACCUGAGGUCGGGAGUUCGAGACCAGCCUGACCAACAUGGAGAAACUCUGUCUGUACUAAAAAUAUAAAAAAUUAUCUGGGC